rnacentral:rRNA from 1 species
UGGGGAAUAUUGCACAAUGGGCGCAAGCCUGAUGCAGCCAUGCCGCGUGUAUGAAGAAGGCCUUCGGGUUGUAAAGUACUUUCAGCGGGGAGGAAGGUGUUGUGGUUAAUAACCACAGCAAUUGACGUUACCCGCAGAAGAAGCACCGGCUAACUCCGUGCCAGCAGCCGCGGUAAGACGGAGGGUGCAAGCGUUAAUCGGAAUUACUGGGCGUAAAGCGCACGCAGGCGGUCUGUCAAGUCGGAUGUGAAAUCCCCGGGCUCAACCUGGGAACUGCAUCCGAAACUGGCAGGCUUGAGUCUUGUAGAGGGGGGUAGAAUUCCAGGUGUAGCGGUGAAAUGCGUAGAGAUCUGGAGGAAUACCGGUGGCGAAGGCGGCCCCCUGGACAAAGACUGACGCUCAGGUGCGAAAGCGUGGGGAGCAAACA